GCGAUAAACACUUGUCAAGAUCUCUCGGUGUUUGAACGGUUACAGAUCUGGCGAUAUUAGUGUUGAAACAAGUUCGGAGUACUGUUUACAUUUUGUGAAGCUUGUUGGAUGAAAAUUCGGACAAAAAUUGAUAAGAAAAACCGACGGUGAGGGUUUCAAAAAUUGACAAUUAAACAAAAAGAUUCGUGGUUAUAAUUCUAGUUUGAAAAGUUUUACAGUUGUGUGAGUUCUCCCUCAUUUCACGGACGAUGGCAUUUGCUCGUUCUAUUUCACAAGGAAGCUCGUUACCAUUCACCGAAAAGGAAAAAAGGAGUUCAAGGAAAGUGGUGAGCUCCCGGGGCGCGUCACGACGCCCGAGCUUUCUUUUCUGCACACGAUACAGUAAGCUCAAAGGCUCACAAGGUUCGGCGGUCCGAGUCAUCGCUUAUAUAUACGCACACAGACGCGGCUUGUACUCGAUCAGGAAAGCCACUUCGACGGGGUUGAAGUCGUCCGUCGGUCCCAGGAGGAGAGAGCUUGCGGGAGGGUUGGCCGCCGCAGACGUUGAUUCGGGAGCGUAAGCCGCAGGAAUAACAUCAAAGCCCGACCAAAGGUAACGCAAUAAAAUAAGAUUAGAAUAAUUCAGACCGCGGUGCGAAUUGAUUCCCUUUGUGAGGAUGCCGAACUGCCUGCCGCCCUACGUAAAAGCUCCAGACAACCGGUGCGGGAAGCAGGAAGCAGGAAGCAGCCAAGAGAAGUUCCCGACUCUCUAAUCAAUCGUUGCCUUCGAGGAUUUCAGGUCCUGCUCAAAAGCUGCAGGCACCUUCAACGCAACCGUCUAUUCUGAGAUCGUGGAUCGGGUUGAAACUAUGCCAGAAAAAUAUGUAACGUCGAAAUCAACGUUGAAAAUGGGUCAAGGACAGCUAGGCAGAACAGAAGA